AAUAGAUACCCAGGUAGUCCACGCUGUAAACGUUGGGCGCUAGGUGUGGGGGGCCUCUCCGGUUCUCUGUGCCGCAGCUAACGCAUUAAGCGCCCCGCCUGGGGAGUACGGCCGCAAGGCUAAAACUCAAAGGAAUUGACGGGGGGCCCGCACAAGCGGCGGAGCAUGCGGAUUAAUUCGAUGCAACGCGAAGAACCUUACCUGGGUUUGACAUGGCCGCAAAACCGGCAGAGAUGUCGGGUCCUUCGGGGGCGGUCACAGGUGGUGCAUGGCUGUCGUCAGCUCGUGUCGUGAGAUGUUGGGUUAAGUCCCGCAACGAGCGCAACCCUCGUUCGAUGUUGCCAGCGCGUUAUGGCGGGGACUCAUCGAAGACUGCCGGGGUCAACUCGGAGGAAGGUGGGGAUGACGUCAAGUCAUCAUGCCCCUUAUGUCCAGGGCUUCACGCAUGCUACAAUGGCCGGUACAAUGGGCUGCGAUACCGUGAGGUGGAGCGAAUCCCAAAAAGCCGGUCUCAGUUCGGAUCGGGGUCUGCAACG
rnacentral:rRNA from 1 species